UACAGAGGAGGCAAGCGUUGUUCGGAAUUACUGGGCGUAAAGGGCGCGUAGGCGGCCUUCUAAGUCGAACGUGAAAUCCCUGGGCUCAACCCAGGAACUGCGUCCGAUACUGGAAGGCUUGAAUCCGGGAGAGGGAUGCGGAAUUCCAGGUGUAGCGGUGAAAUGCGUAGAUAUCUGGAGGAACACCGGUGGCGAAGGCGGCAUCCUGGACCGGUAUUGACGCUGAGGCGCGAAAGCCAGGGGAGCAAACGGG
rnacentral:rRNA from 1 species